rnacentral:tRNA from 1 species
GGAUCGUUAGCUCAGUUGGUUAGAGCAGAGAGUCUCAUAAGCCUCGUGUCCUGGGUUCGAGUCCCAGACGAUCUA